rnacentral:rRNA from 1 species
AAGCUCGUAGUUGAAUUUCGGGGUUAGCAGGUUGGUCGUGCCACUGGUAUGUACUGGCCUUGCUGAUUCCUCCCUCUUGAUGAGCCGUAAUGCCAUUAAUUUGGUGUUGCGAGGAAUCAGGACUGUUACUUUGAAAAAAUUAGAGUGUUUAAAGCAGGCAAGCGCUUGAAUACAUUAGCAUGGAAUAAUGAAAUAGGACGUUCGAUCUUAUUUUGUUGGUUUCUAAGAUUGACGUAAUGAUUAAUAGGGAUAGUUGGGGGCAUUAGUAUUCAAUUGUCAGAGGUGAAAUUCUUGGAUUUAUUGAAGACUAACUACUGCGAAAGCAUUUGCCAAGGAUGUUUUCAUUAAUCAAGAACGAAAGUUAGGGGAUCGAAGACGAUCAGAUACCGUCGUAGUCUUAACCAUAAACUAUGCCGACUAGGGAUCGGAUGAUGUUAAUUUUUUAAUGACUCAUUCGGCGCCUUACGGGAAACCAAAGUGUUUGGGUUCCGGGGGGAGUAUGGUCGCAAGGCUGAAACUUAAAGGAAUUGACGGAAGGGCACCACCAGGGGUGGAGCCUGCGGCUUAAUUUGACUCAACACGGGGAAA